rnacentral:rRNA from 1 species
UACGGAGGAUCCAAGCGUUAUCCGGAAUUACUGGGCGUAAAGAGUUGCGUAGGUGGCAUUGUAAGCAAGUAGUGAAAGCGUUCGGCUCAACCGAAUAAACAUUACUUGAACUGCAAAGCUAGAGGAUAGGAGAGGUUAUUGGAAUUCCCUGUGUAGGAGUGAAAUCCGUAGAUAUAGGGAGGAACACCGAUGGCGUAGGCAGAUAACUGGCCUAUUCCUGACACUAAGGCACGAAAGCGUGGGUAGCAAACGGGAUUAGAAACCCUGUAGUCC